GCAGGACCGAGAGUCAGAGAGAAAACAGGAUCCUCCGAGGCUCCGUCUAACAAAGAGCAGAGGACGACAACAAACACCGAGGAGCAAACAGACCGGACUCCUUCUCCCCCCCAUCAGGGAACCCCCCCACCUCCACCUCCUCCACCUCCUCCUCUUCAUCAUCACUGAGUCCGGCCGAGUUUGAGGAAGGAGCAAAAACAACACGAGCUCUCACAGCCGGACGCUUUAGCUGCAGCGUCGCCCUCAUCCCCUCAGCGCUCGGAGAAACCGGGGUCACAUCCUGGUGCCUGAGCCGGGAUGGACGCCAGAGAGGAGACGAUGAGCCUCCUCAGCGGGAUAUGGGCCAAGCUGAAAGCUCUUCCUGAAGCUCAUCCUGCAGAGCUGGGAGGCUUCUUCAUCCUCAUCACCUUCAUCCUCAUGAUCGUCCUCAUGGUGGCGCUGACGUGCAUGACCUGCUGCUGCUGCUGCUGCUGCAGACGAAAGACCAAAGAGACGAGCUCCGACAUUUGAGACUCGGACGUCUGCAGCACAGACGAGUUUUUCCUCCUGGGGAGGUUUUAAAAACGUACGUAUGUGUGUGUGUUAGGAGGCGAGGACUUUGAACCAUAAAGUCAAACACGGAGCAGGAGGAGGAGGAGGAGGAGGAGGAGGAGGAGGAGGAGGAGAACCUGCUGCCAGGAUUUCAGGUGAAUCCACAUUCCUCAGAGAAUCACUGCACCUGAACCUUCCUGAGAGGAGAUCGAACUUCAAGCUGCCUCAAAUAAAACAGGCGAAACUUUAAGACGGACAAACGUGGUUCUUUGUGUCACUACUAAAGAGUUAAAAGUUGUUUUCAAACCUGAGAGUGACUCAUAACGUAAAGAGGGAGAAAGUCUGCCCUCUGCUGCACAGGAACGGAAAAGCAACUAUGAUCUAUAAAUAAAUAUAUAUAAAUAUAUAUAUACAGUCAUGUAAGCUACCGGUUUGUGUUUACAUCUAAAAAAUAAUAAUAAAAAUGAUAAAAAUCCA